CCACGUCACACACUCUAUUUGGGCUCUGAAUUAUUUUGUCUCUUUUUAAUUUUCGUUUUUCUUUCUUCUGGGUUUUCGUCGAUCAAACGAAGUUUUGUCUCUCCAUCUCCACUGCAAUCGAUCUGUAAAGUAAUCAAUUGUCCGUUUCGGAUUGAUUGAUGGCUUCCUCUCCAUUUAUUUAUAAAUCUCCUUUUUCAUGUUUUUUCUUCAAUCAAAACUCUCUCAAUUUGUUAUCGUGAUGAAGUCGAACGGGAAAGCCAGUCUCCGACGAUCCGAUUGUGAAGAAACCAAACGGCAAGGAUGCUGUCUCCUCCGCCGUUCUGGAUCAACCAACCGUAAAAACGCCGUCUCCUCCGCCAAGGUCCAUAAGGUGAUGCCCGCCGUCUCCUCCGUCAAGGUUGAUAAAAUCUGAGAAGAGCAUGCUGAGAAUUAAUAGUAACUGGUGUUUUUUUUUUUGUUAGUUUCACAACAGAGAAACGUAAGAAUCUUUGUAUUUUCACAAACUGAGAAUUCAAACUGUUAUCUAUGUAUACAUUAUGACAUAUCUAUACAAUAACAAAUCUCUAUAUAUUCA